UUGGAGGGCAAGUCUGGUGCCAGCAGCCGCGGUAAUUCCAGCUCCAAUAGCGUAUAUUAAAGUUGUUGCAGUUAAAAAGCUCGUAGUUGAAUUUCGGAAUCAGUAUGUUGGUCGUGCUUCGGUACGUACUGUCAUUACUGGUUUCUACCUUCUGAAGAACCUUGAUGUCAUUAAUUUGGUGUCUUGGGGAAUCAGGACUGUUACUUUGAAAAAAUUAGAGUGUUUAAAGCAAGCAUACGCUUGAAUACAUUAGCAUGGAAUAAUGAAAUAGGACGUUUGAUUCUAUUUUGUUGGUUUCUAGGAUCGACGUAAUGAUUAAUGGGGAUAGUUGGGGGCAUUAGUAUUCAAUUGUCAGAGGUGAAAUUCUUGGAUUUAUUGAAGACUAACUACUGCGAAAGCAUUUGCCAAGGAUGUUUUCAUUAAUCAAGAACGAAAGUUAGGGGAUCGAAGACGAUCAGAUACCGUCGUAGUCUUAACCAUAAACUAUGCCGACUAGGAAUCAGACGAUGUUAAUUUUUUAAUGACUCGUUUGGCACCUUACGGGAAACCAAAGUGUUUGGGUUC
rnacentral:rRNA from 1 species